rnacentral:lncRNA from 1 species
UUUCAGGCAUGCAUGGGACAUUGGUUAUAUUAUUACCACUCAGUUUGAUUCUGAUGAUCUUUGGAGGCAUGACUGGAUUCGUCAGCAUACUUGCAAGAGCCUAUCUGCUGUUGUUUAUGACUGGAUUGCUUUUCCUUUUUGGAGGUAUGGUUACUUACUCUUUAAUAAUAUGAUGAUUCCCUCCAAACACUAAAUAGAUACAAGCAUUUCCUACCCUAAAAGGGGAUGAUUGAAAGGGAAGGACACAUCAUUUAAAAUAAUGCACUUUUGUUUAGAUUAUUUUAACAAUAAACAAGAAAGUGAAAAAGAGUGAAUAUGCCAGCUAUGCCCUAAAUGCAGGUAUCAAUAACCCCACACUUUUUAAUAAAACAAUAAAAAUAAACAAAUGAAACACAAAAUAGCAGGUUGAUCUGAUAAACAGAAUCCCUUCAUCAGGGGUAGUCAACCUUUUGGUAUAGCUGUGCCAAAGUAAAACUAUGAAGUCCUUUAGCGUGCCAGACAAAAAUUUUUUUAAGUGUCUGAGUACUAUGUAUUUGUGUGGGAUGUCUUUGGCAUGUGAGUGUGCAUGCAGCCUUUGUGCAGUGUUGUGUAUAAGUUGUUGAUUGUGGUUUUGUGUGUGGCUGUGGACGGUUUGUGGUUUUGUGUGACUGUGUGUGUGUCUUGAUGGGCUGUUUGUGUGAAUUGUUUGUGGUAUUGUUUUUGUGGACUGCAUGUUGUGUUAUGUAUAUGUCUGCCAAGUUUGUGGUAUUUAUGUGUGUGGAGCUUUCUGCAGUAUUAUGUGUAUGUAGAAUGUUCAUGUACUUGUGUGUAUUUGGAUGUGGAGUGCAUGAUGUGUGAAGCAUGAAGCAUGUGUGUGGGCCGGUUUUCAUAAAUGCAUAUAUGUAAGUUACGUGUAGUAUUUGUGUGUAGUGGGGACUAUCUGUGGUGUUGCUUGUGUAUGUAGGAUGCUGUUGUGUUAUGUAUGUGUGCAGACUGUCUGGUGUGUGCGCUUAUAAUAGUUUUAUGUGUGGUGUGGGCUGCCUCUUCUUACUUGUCUGGCAUUUUGCCUGUGAGUCAAAGAGUUGCCAUGGUAAAUCAUGAAGAUAUUCUAUAUCACAGAAAAGUGUUGUAUCAUGAAGUGAGAUUGUCCUGUGGUGUUUACACCCACUAGAGGUGAAGAGCACAAGUUCCCUUGCACUACAUGUGAUGGGGAACUCUGGGCCAGCUAGGGGGCUCCUUAGAUUUUUCUAUUUGGCCCAUUUUGGUCUUGUUUGUGGGCCAAAGGUUGCCAACCCCAGCCAUACAUUAAAACUAGUGCAAAAUCAAAGGCUGUGAUUGAAAAGCAACUAUGAAAGAAUUGGAGUACAGUUGUAAAGGACACUUUCUAUUCACUUACAUUUAUUUGAAACAAGUGAUCAGUUUCAUUCUAGAUAUGAACCCCCCAGUAUCCCCUCACAUGUUACUCACUUUCUAUAUCCCUUUUCCACCCUGAACGAUAUAGAGCCAAAACCUACUCAAAAUGCAUAUUUUGAAUCCAUUUUACUCGCAUAGACUACAGCAGUCAUAUACAUACAGUUCUAAUGGGCCGUGACACAAAUACUUUAUCAAUGAAAUAUCUAAUGUAUUAAUCUCCACCUAACUACACAAAAAGAAAGUAAAAGGGGAAUAUAUGUCAACAGUAAUGGUGUAGUGCACUUUGGAAGACCUAUGUCUCCAUAUACAAGGCUGAUUUGCUUAUCAUCCAUGUUUAGUACAAUACCUCAGUACAUCAAUCAUAUAUUACAAUCUACUUAACUCUUGUCUGAGUGAAAACUGUUUAUGUAUCACACCAUUGUGUUUAUGUAUCACACCAUUGUCAGAGAUCCAUAGUGAAACAACCCAUUUCACUAAAGGUUUAAAUAGGUGUCCAAUCCUAAAGUUCAGCAGUGCCCCCUAAUAAUUCCAUUACAGAUUUCCCUAAAGAUGGUCUUUAUCUCUAAUACCAUUCAGAAGUAGUGCCAUUCCAUUUUACCUCUGACCCACUCUUCUACAUAAGAGAGACUUUUCUUUUGAACCACUCCUAAUUAUUUAUAGAUUCAAUAUGUGCCUGACAAACAUUUUUUUUUGUUUGUACUGCUUUCCAUUUACAGUUUCCCUUUUAACAAUUUUAGUUAUUUUACAUUUUAUUGUGAAAAUGAUUUGUACACUUACAGGGUUAUUAAUUAAACUACGAAUUGGAAACUGAGAAUUCAUAAUAUAUUAAAAGUGAAUUUCAAAUUUAAGGCCAAAACAAAUUGUAAAGAGAAUUGACUUUUUUCUGUAUUUGUUCAGUGCAGCUAUUUUCUUCAAAUUUUGAAAUCCACUUUGAAUUUACUAUGAAUUCCUGGCAAUUCUAACCUUUUUGAAGACCCCUGUUAUGCAUUGCAAUUCCAAAUUCCUUCAUGUUCUACCCUAGAUUACUGUCAUGAUAGUUUCAACUUUCUUGUAGUUCCAACUAUCUCUUAAAACAAUUUUACAUUAUAUUUUGUAAGAAGUUUGUGGUCAUAUAAAUCAAAACAAAGUGAAUUGUGUUUUUCUAUUAAGGUCAUUCACUAAAGUAAGAAUUCAAGCCAGCAACACUUUUAGGUCAGCUAAUCUGGCCCUGAAAUUUUAAAUUCUCUUUGAAUUCUCACUUUAGUUAAUAACUCUGUGUGUUUUCUUUCAGAGGAUGGUUUACUAUGAGAAACAAAGCUACUGUUAUAGGGUCCUGUUCACUAGAUAGUGAGUUGUGUGUUUGGGAAUUGACCAAAUGAAUCCAAAUAUUAACCCUUUAAGGACUGAGCCAAAUGUACACGUUGUGAACAAAACACAACGUAAACAAAAACAUAUUAUGUGCACCCACACUUAUUAUAUAUUACUUUAUUCAGAGGAAACAGGGUUUUCAUUUAACAUCAAAUAUUUACGUAUUAAAACAUAAAUGUCACAUAAUUUAAUAUGAAUAAAAUAUAAAAAAUGGGUGAAAAUAGGAAUUUGUAAAUAUAUUUUAGUUCUAUGUGACAUUCUAACUGUGAAUAUCAUAAUACUGUUUGCUUUUACUACACUAAAAUACACAUAUUUGUAUUCAGCAAAGUCUCACGUGUAAAACAGUACCCCCUAUGUACAGGUUUAUGGUGUUUUGGGAGGUUACAGGGUCAAAUAUAGCACGUUACAUUUUUCAUUUUUUUCCCAUGAAAUUCGCCAGAUUGGUUAUGUUGCCUUUGAGACCCUAUGGUAGCCCAGGAAUGAGAACUAGCCCCAUGAUGGCAUACCAUUUGCAAAAGUAGACAACCCAAGGUAGUGCAAAUGGGGUAUGCCCAGUCUUUUUUAGUAGCCACUUGGUUACAAACACUUGCCAAAGUUAGUGUUAAUAUUUGUUUGUGUCUGAAAAAUGCAAAAACUAAUUUGAAUGCCAAUUUUGUUUAUGACUAAGUGGCCACUAAAAAAGACUGGACCCCAUUUGCAAUACCUUGAGUUGUCUACUAUUGCAAAUGGUAUGCCAUCAUGGGGGUAAUUUUCAUUCCUGGGCUAAUAUACGGUCUCAAAGGCAAUCUGGCGAAUUUCAAUGUGAAAAAACUGAAACGCAAGCCCUAUAUUUGACUCUGUAACAUUUGAAAACACCAUAAAACCUGUACAUGAUGGGUACUGUUAUCCUCGAGAGACUUCGCUGAACACAAAUAUUAGUGUUUCAAUACAGUAAAACGUAUCACAGCAAUUAUAUGUCCAUGUAAGUGCCAUUCGUAUGUGAAAAAUGCAAAAAUGCAAAAAUGUCACUUUCACUGACGAUAUCGUUUUAAUACAUUUUACUGUUUUGAAACACUAAUUUUUGUGUUCAGUGAAGUCUUCCAAGUAAAAUAGUAGCCCCCAUUUACAGGUUUUAUGGUGUCUUGGAAAGUUACAGGGAUUAAAUAUAGUGCUAGCAAAUCAAAUUCCCUGGACUUUUGUUGUCAGACAGGUCCCACAAAUUGUAAUUAAUAAAAUGACCUAAUUAUGUAAAAUUAUUACAUAAAUAUAUACAUAGAAUUAUUAUAUAUAUAUAAACGUGUGUAUAUAUAUAUAUUUAUAUAUAUAUAUAUAUAUAUAUGUGUAUAUAAUUUUUUAAAAAUAUUUUUAUUUAUAUAUAGGUAUAUAUGUAUAUAGUGAUAUAUACGUAUAUACUUAUGUAUAUAUAUAUAUAUAUAUAUAUAUAUUAUUUCGUUCUACAUGUAUUUUGAUAUCAAUAUAUAUAUAUAUAUAUAUUAAUUUUAAAAUACAGUUAGAACGAAUUUACAUAUAUAUAUUUAUUGUUAUUUUUUAACGUAUUUACAUAUUUAUUUUAUAUAUAAUGAUAAUUAUAUAUUUAAUCAAUAUCAUUCUACGUGUAUACUUCGAUAUUAAUAUAUAUAUAUAUAAUUAUAUAUAUAUAUAAAUAUUAAAAUAUACUUAGACAGUGUAUGUGUAUUUAUGUGUAUGUAUGUGUGUGUGUGUGUCUAUAUAUGUGUGUGUGUGUAUAAAUAUAUAUAUAUGAUAUAUAUAUAUAUAUAUAUAUAUAUAUAUACUUAGAUCAUAUAUAUAUAUAUAAUAAAUAUAUAUAUGAUCUAAGUAUAUAUAAUUUAAUUUUACACUGUUUUAACAUUUAUUAUUUUUUUCAGACAGCAGGGGGAGUACCUGUCAUUACAGGCACUCCCCCUGCUGGCACUCACAUGGACGCCUAUGCCGUACAUGCUGGUGUUAAAGCAGAGUAGGCACCUGCCUUCCCUAUAUUGCAGGUGCCUACUCUGCUAACACUUACCCGGUCGGAAAGGAGAGCCAGCAAGGGAGCUCAGUGUUCCUGUUCCUGCUCCUCACUGCUCCCUCGAGCGCGCCGUCUGUAGUGAAGCUGGGUGCCGUGAUAUGAUGUCAUAUUCCAGCACCCGGCAUCACUAAACCACGCACGGGAGCAGUGAGGAGCAGAUAGAAGGACCCCGGGGAGAUGACCCACAUCAGCUCCAAAAGGUAGGGAGCAAUAAAGAAAAGUAUGUGUGUGCAAGAAUGUGUAAGUGUGUGAGUGUGUGUGUCUGUCAGUGAGUGUGUGUGUGUAUGUUUGUGUUUCUGUCAGUAAGUAUGUGUGUGUCUGUCAGUGAGUGAGUGUGUGUGUGUCUGUCAGUGUGUCUAUAUGUCUGUAUGUGUUAUAUAUAGGAGUCUAGCCUGCUCCCUGGUUCUGCACCCCUCCCUGUCACAGGUGCCUCAUCUCAGGAUUCUAUUUGGCCUUGUACUGCAGAGAACCCAAGAGAAUGUUCCCAAGUGAGUAGCUCAUUUAGCAAACAUUAGGCAGUUAGAGUAGGACCUGCCGAACAUGGGGUACAUUGACGUUGUGGCAGGCUUAUGCAAUGUAUGAUCAUAUAAUGUAACUAAAUCCCCAUUGUUUUUAAUAAAACUUACAAAAUCUGUCAGCACAAAAGUAGCUGUUUAGUAGAUAGGGAGUGUGCUGGUUUCUCAUUUUUUACUGUAUGUAUUUGCCCCCCCUCCCCACCCCCCAGCAGCACUCCAUUUAAGCAUGUUACGUUGAGUGCAAUGAAACCCUUGUUCUUUCAUUUGUAUUUGUGUGUCUGUCUGUAAGUAUGUGUGCAUGUCUGUGUGUGUGUCUGUCUGUGAGUGUGUGUGCGUCUGUCAGUGGGUAUGUGUGUGUUUGUAUGUGUGUAUGUCAGUGAGAAUGUGUGUGUGUCUGUCAGUAUGUGUGUGUCUGUCAGUGUGUGUGUGUGUCAGUGUGUCUAUAUGUGUGUGUCUGUCUGUGAGUAUGUGUGUGUGUCAGCGGGAGGAUCAGAUUUGGCACAGGGUGGUGUAGGGGGGGACUGGGAUUUAGUAGAGGGGGUGCUGUGGUUUAGUAGAGGGUAAUGCUGGUUUUUUUAUACUGUACUUUUUAAAAUUAACCUAUGUUUCUAUGAAAAUUUAAGGCCCACCUAAACUUAAACCGUGUUUAUGUGGCCCAUGCCAGACUUUGAGUUUGACAUGCUUGACCUACACCUUAAAAUCCAUAAUACAAAUACACAAUAGGUGGAGCUGUUAGAAUACUUCCCUCUUUUCUUAAUGUAACAGUGUAUGCUGAAAUACAAACUGAGGGAUACACUGUUACGAUUAUCUCCAGGCUAGCUGAAAGUUGGACCGUAGAAAGGAUGCUCCUAGUGCUCACCAAAGGACCAUCAGCACCGUAGACACCAUAAGUACCGCAGACUCCACGAACCGCCACUGCUAGGUUGGUAUCUCACAGUCUGCUAUCCACCCUGGACCUAAGAUCAGGUUCCAGUGGGUGAACCUCUUCCUUCUGUAGAGCAAAGCAGGAUCAGGAACAAGAGCUCUUACAAGAGCUCAGUAGCUAAGGGAGUAUGAAGAGCAUAACAAUCCCUGUAGUGAUUAUAGCUGUCCCCUACAAACACAAGUCGAGGCUGCGAGUUAGAGGGUCAAGUAGUUCUCCUUUUAAUGGAAGCAAGCACUCACAAUGUAUACAGGCACACCCCCUGGACCUGAUGGAACACAGGCACACAAAGGACACAAACCAAUCAAAACAAUAUAACAAUGUCUGACACUCCCAGUCAUUACAGCAAAAUCCUCCCCUCUGCCUGUGAGAUAAUGACUGAACACAAUGGGCUAACGUAAUUAUCACAGGCAGGAAAAUACACAGUUUUGCACAAUAUUCAUAACUUUAAAAGUAUACAUUACAUUCACAUAAAAUUUACAUAUUUUGAACCAGCAUACGCAGUAUACAAACAUAUGUCAAAAUCAUACAAAUUGGUCCAGUGGUUCAAAAGUUAUAUGGAAGUCCUUUGUGACUGACUGCAAGCAUGGCUUUCUAGCCCAAACCAGUUCCACAGAGUUAGGCUGUGCAGCUGGUCUAUCUUCUCCUCUAUCCUGGAGAUAAUUGGCUUAACUGGGUGUGGUAAGCCAACUAUCUCCAGGUACAGAAAAUAUCUCUAUUUACAACAGCAAAAAUACACAAAAAUACAUAACACCUAUCAUUCUGAACAGAACCCCUACAUUCAACCUACCCCCAGAUAGCUUGGAUUUGAACGCUCAAUAUAUCCGAACAGUGCUCAGAUCCCACAAACACAGUAAAAUCGCCAUACAUACUAGGUCCAUAGUCAUGGGGCAGAAGGCUGGCAAUUAGGCUUAAGGUAGGGAGCACCCCCCCCCUAAGUAAAUUCCCCCCCAAGGUGACUAGGGGUCCCCAAUCCCCUAGUCACCCACCCCCCCCAAAUAAAAUGUCCCUACCCAUAAUACAGGGAAGCAGGGCAAUUUGUCGCAUAAAAUAAAAGUUACAAAAGGCCUUUUGUAACAUACACAAUAGUGCAGAUUAAACCUUCUAUGACAUAAAGUGUCUAAUUCUUAAUAAAAGCACACUCACAAAGAUAGAGCCAUAUAGUAACCUGGCUUUAAUGUGUAACUCAUUAGGAUCCUUGGGGAGAUCCAAACCCCACUUCAAAUUGGAGGAAGGUGAUCAAGAUGAUGCCUUCCCAAAUGAUGAAGUAGCAGGUCCAGGUAAAAAAAUAACAAAUUUAUUGAGUAUAAUAAAAUAAAAAAGAAAAAGCAAAAGUAAUAGCCCAAAAUUCACCAAAACGCGUUUCGCUGGAUUGUGGCUUCAGGCUGUGCAGUCGGUCUCUUUUGGGAGUAUAAACUGCAUGAAAAACCCAUCCAAAACUGUUCAUGCAUACCUUCGUUAGGUGUAUCUUGUUCGGGAGUUUGCUCUCCCUGAACGCCACUCGGUUUGCCGAAAUCCCUACAAAUAUAAUGGAAGGUGGAAGUCCCAGCAGUGUUCACGCCACUGAGUGUCCGAUUUUAGUUCCAUACACUUGACGACCAAACACUGCUGUCUCUGUUCGUAUUCCAAGAUGGCCGCCGCCACGUGUUCACACAUACGAACGGCGACCACCCAGCUGACCGCUUGGAACAUUCAUGUAAUUGUGGUUUGUAGAGGUGUGAACAGGGGUUAUUGGGGUUAACAAGCCGCACACUCCCCAAAUGGGUGGUCUGGCAUUCGGUAAUUUGUUCGUUUGUUGAACACGAUGGUGUUAAUAGGCGAGAUGGCUGUUAUUUUCCCGAAUGGCCAGACAAACAGGGGACAUAACAAGAUGAUCCAGGGACUAUGAGCACGAAACAUAGGAAAUAACAGGGGAGACAAGAUACGGACAGCCCAUAGCAGAAAUAAGGGUGAGCGUCCAAGGUUCAUUCCGCUACAUGAAGUAUUCUAACAGCUCCACCUAUUGUGUAUUUGUAAAAAACAUAACAUAGCUUAGCAACACUGCAACCAUUCAGGAUGCAGUACAGUCCAUAAAGGUGUGGUACUCAUUGACUCCUCCUCUUUCUUGCGUAGCCACCCAAAGACCUAUAACACUGGAACCAAAUAAAACCAACAGAACAGGAACCCUUGAAACGAAAACUCC